AAGCAAUAUCCUGUGAAAUCAGGACCAAGAAAAUGUUGUCCACUCUCGUCUCCUUUUCAACAUAGUAUUAGAAUUCCUAGACAGAGGAAUAAGGCAAGAGAAAGACAUAAAGGGGAUCCAAAUAGGAAAAGAUGAAGUCAUGGGCUGGGGAUAUAGCCUAGUGGCAA